UCUCAUAAACCUAAUAUCAAAUAAACGAGGGUUCUCUCUCAGUGCUAGCAGCUGAUCCCUUUUUCCCUUUCAAGAAAAUUUUCAAGCACUUUCGCCAUUGACAAGCGCUUGAUCCACCAUUUUCAUGCAAACUUUGAAAACUACAAAUACUUCUCCAUCUCCUCUUUCUCGUUUGAUAUUUCAAGGACGUCCAUAUAGAGGGAACUGGCAAAUCUUCUCCAUUUUCAGGUAAAUCUGAAGCAAUCACGUUUUCCUGUAUUCGAAUCACGUGAAGGUCUACAAGUUCCUCCAAAACCAUCAACAUUCGGAUUCAGAGUGUAGACCAAAAAUUCAAAAAUCAAAAUCCCGCUCAAAUCUUACAUAUUUUCAUCUAUAAAUACACUCUUAUUCUUCUGCAAAACCUGGGGGGAAGGAGUCACAGAAAUAUCGCUCAUCUAACUCUAUUGUUUUUCAUCUCUUUAAACACUUGGUAUUUUUCCUCUUGAUCUCGGUUCGUAUCUUUUUCUUUCGAAGAAGGGGGAGAUCUGAAGACUCAAACACUCCAGUUCACUUCCAUAUGGAAGUGCAGGUCUGAGCCCCAAUUACCAACGUUGACUUAUCGAGCAUGCAACAAUCUUUGAUGAAGACGCGGGUGAGCACUUAACAUUUUAGGAUCAUUUUUGUCUUCUUUAGCAUGGAUGACCCGUUUUUUGCAUUUUGAGACUAGCCAGUUGUUGUAUUUAUUUAUAGUCCACUUUUGGGACUUGUACUAAUCUUUUAUUUUGUAGUAGCUCUGUACUUAUGACUUUCAGGUUCUUGAAAAGAUCAGUUGUAUAUAGUUA